rnacentral:rRNA from 1 species
GACGAACGCUGGCGGCGUGCUUAACACAUGCAAGUCGAACGGUGAAGGGACCGGUUUUUGCUGGUUCUGGAUGAGUGGCGAACGGGUGAGUAACACGUGAGUAACCUGCCCCCUUCUUCUGGAUAACCGCAUGAAAGUGUGGCUAAUACGGGAUAUUCUGCGCCUGCUGCAUGGUGGGUGUGGGAAAGAUAUUGUUUCGGUGGGGGAUGGGCUCGCGGCCUAUCAGCUUGUUGGUGGGGUGAUGGCCUACCAAGGCGGUGACGGGUAGCCGGCCUGAGAGGGUGGACGGUCACACAGGGACUGAGACACGGCCCGGACUCCGACGGGAGGCAGCAGUGGGGAAUAUUGCACAGUGGGCGCAAGCCUGAUGCAGCGACGCCGCGGGAGGGAUGGAGGCCUUCGGGUUGUAAACCUCUUUCGCCAGUGAAGCAGGCCUGUCCCUUUUGUGGGUGGGUUGACGGUAGCUGGAUAAGAAGCGCCGGCUAACUACGUG